GCGGACGGGUGAGUAAUGCCUAGGAAUCUGCCUGGUAGUGGGGGAUAACGUCCGGAAACGGACGCUAAUACCGCAUACGUCCUACGGGAGAAAGCAGGGGACCUUCGGGCCUUGCGCUAUCAGAUGAGCCUAGGUCGGAUUAGCUAGUUGGUGAGGUAAUGGCUCACCAAGGCGACGAUCCGUAACUGGUCUGAGAGGAUGAUCAGUCACACUGGAACUGAGACACGGUCCAGACUCCUACGGGAGGCAGCAGUGGGGAAUAUUGGACAAUGGGCGAAAGCCUGAUCCAGCCAUGCCGCGUGUGUGAAGAAGGUCUUCGGAUUGUAAAGCACUUUAAGUUGGGAGGAAGGGCAGUUGCCUAAUACGUAACUGUUUUGACGUUACCGACAGAAUAAGCACCGGCUAACUCUGUGCCAGCAGCCGCGGUAAUACAGAGGGUGCAAGCGUUAAUCGGAAUUACUGGGCGUAAAGCGCGCGUAGGUGGUUUGUUAAGUUGGAUGUGAAAUCCCCGGGCUCAACCUGGGAACUGCAUUCAAAACUGACUGACUAGAGUAUGGUAGAGGGUGGUGGAAUUUCCUGUGUAGCGGUGAAAUGCGUAGAUAUAGGAAGGAACACCAGUGGCGAAGGCGACCACCUGGA
rnacentral:rRNA from 1 species